GGAGCCGAGUAGAACGAUUUCACUGGCUACACCCGUAGAAGGCACAUGACCACAGCAGUGGACCGGGGUUCAAUUCCCCGCAUCUCCACCA
rnacentral:tRNA from 1 species